UUCUUCUUUUCUUUUUCACGUCGUCCCAAGGUCACCGACGACCUCUUCUGUUCAUGUGGGGUCGUCAUUUGCCGAGCUGCUUUUCGGCUCUUACGCCGUUCGAAGAUACUCAAUUGUCAUUCCGUCGACGGUUGCAGGUUCGCUUGGGGCCCUUCGGGCCCGAGGUCCCUCCUAGGGCUUGAGUUCGUGGAUUCGAGCUUCCGUUGCCUUCGGGCACUGUUCGCUUUCCUUUUUUGCUUGAGUUUUUUCACUGCUGAAGUCGGAGCUAAGUUCGGCUCCCUUGGGAGUCCGAACGGAGAAGCCCUCCUGAAGUUGGAGUAGCCUGGCUCUCGUGGGGGUCAGGGCGAAGUCUUCCUGCAAUCAAAGCCAUAGGCAAAGUCUGGGUCCCGUAGGAGACUGGACAAGGCCUAUCGGCAGUUGUUGUUGUCAGCGGAGCCCGGCUCCCGUAGGAGCUCGGGCGGGGUUGUCCUGUAGCUGAUGUCGGCGAUGGAGCCCGGCUCCCGUAGGAGUCCGGGUGAAGUUUUCUUUGGCGUCGUGGACGGGACCCGGCUCCCGUAGGAGUCCGGG
rnacentral:lncRNA from 1 species